rnacentral:rRNA from 1 species
GACGAACGCUGGCGGCGUGCUUAACACAUGCAAGUCGAACGGAAAGGCCCUGCUUUUGUGGGGUGCUCGAGUGGCGAACGGGUGAGUAACACGUGAGUAACCUGCCCUUGCCUUUGGGAUAACUUCAGGAAACUUGGGCUAAUACCGGAUAGGAGCUCCUGCUGCAUGGUGGGGGUUGGAAAGUUUCGGCUGUUGGGGAUGGACUCGCGGCUUAUCAGCUUGUUGGUGGGGUAGUGGCUUACCAAGGCUUUGACGGGUAGCCGGCCUGGGAGGGUGACCGGCCACAUUGCGACUGAGAUACGGCACAGACUCGUACGGGAGGCAGCAGUGGGGAAUAGUGUACUAUGGGCUGAAGCCUGGUGCAGCAACGCCGCGUGCGGGAUGACGGCCUUCGGUUUGUAUUCCGCUUUCGCCUGUGACGAAGCGUUAGUGACGGUAAUGGGUGAAGAAGCACCGGCUAACUACGUG